AAUGUUACAUAUUUUAGAUACAGAUAAUACUGUUAAUAGGAGAUCAGAUUGUGAGGGACUUAGCAAUAUUUAUAGUCAGUUUGUCCAAAGAAAUAUGUUAUAUUAGAUUUUAUCAACAUUUUUAACUUGAAUUUUUAGAUAGGAUUUGUUUUUGUUUUCUUAUCAAAUUUUUGAAUUUCUUAUCAAAUAGAAAUUUUUAAUUUGAUUGUUUUGAAAUUUCAAUAAUGUGAAACGUCUUUUUCAAGAUAUUCUAUUAUUGAAUUUUAAAAUAUCUUUGAUACAAAAAGCUAAACAGUUUUUGAAAAACCACUUUUGUUAAACCUUAAGAGGUUAAAAAGUUUUUAAUAUUAGUCCUGAAGAAGGGUAUAUCCAUACCCGAAACGUCGACUGAUAGAGAAAAGAACUAACUCAAGAAAAGACCUAUAGCCCACAAACAAUAGUAUAUUUUAUUUUACUAAAAAGGUCACGUAAGAAGGAAUAUUUAUUAAUACUAA